AGACAAAAUGAUGAUCCAAAUUUUAUAUGUUUUUCUGGCAUCUCUAAUGCUAGGGGCCGAUACCCUCGGCCUCGAUGAAUUUAACCUUGACUAGUAUCUGAUU
rfam:Sugiyamaella lignohabitans strain CBS 10342 chromosome A, complete sequence.